CUGCUCCACAGCGCCCAGUCCCAUCAACCACCCAAGGGCUGAAUUGUGCGGGCGCAGGGCACGGGACUGGCAGGCAGCUCCACCGGUAGCCCCGGUGCGGGAUCCACUGGGUGAAGCCAGCUGGGCUCCUGAGUCUGGUGGGGACGUAGAGAACCUUUAUGUCUAGCUCAGGGAUUGUAAAUUCACCAGUCGGCACUCUGUAUCUAGCUCAAGGUUUGUAAACACACCAAUCAGCACCCUGUGUCCAGCUCAGGGUUUGUAAAUGCACCAAUCGACACUCUGUAUCUAGCUACUCUGGUGGGGCCUUGGAGAACCUUUGUGUCCACACUCUGUAUCUAGCUAAUCUGGUGGGGAAGGGGAGAACCUUUGUGUCUAGCUCAGGGCUUGUAAAAGCACCAAUCAGUGCCCUGUCAAAACAGACCACUGGGCUCUACCAAUCAGCAGGAUGUGGAUGGCGGGGGUUGGCGGGGGGCAGAUAAGAGAAUAAAAGCAGGCUGCCAGAGCCAGCAGUUGCAACCUGCUCAGGUCCCCUUCUACACUGUGGAAGCUUUGUUCUUUCGCUCUUUGCAAUAAAUCUUGCUACUGCUCACUCUUUGGGUCCACUCUGCUUUUAUGAGCUGUAACACUCACCGCGAAGGUCUGCAGCUUCACUCCUGAAGCCAGUGAGACCACGAGCCCACCUGGAGGAAGGAACAACUCCAGAGGCCCUGCCUUAAGAGCUGUAACACUCACCGCGAAGGUCUGCAGCUUCACUCCUGAAGCCAGCGAGACCACGAGCCCACCUGGAGGAACAAACAACUCCAGAGGCGCCGCCUUAAGAGCUGUAACACUCACCGCGAAGGUCUGCAGCUUCACUCCUGAGCCAGCGAGACCACGAACCCACCAGAAGGAAGAAACUCCGAAAACAUCUUAACAUCAGAAGGAACAAAUUCCAGACGCGCCAUCUUAAGAGCUGUAACACUCACCGCGAGGGGCGUGGCUUCAUGCUUGAAGUCAGUGAGACCAAGAACCCACCAAUUCUGGACACAUUAUGACCUUUGUUUCCUGCCAUGGAAGAAAAUUUAAAUUCCCAGGCUGAAGAAGCAAAUUAGGCCUCUCAAGCAGAAACCAACAGUGUAUCACAAACUCAUGAAAAAUUUCAUAGAUGUCUCAGAAGAAGCAGUGAAAAAUAUUGGUUCUGAGAAGCAAUCAUCAGCCAGUCUCAGAGAGAGGAGAACAAGAUUAAACCAAGUGGCCAAGCUGCCCAUGUGGAUAGGUACAAUGAGCAAGAAAUAAACCUUUGUUGUUUGAUGUCAGUGAG
rnacentral:lncRNA from 1 species